GCAUAACGCGAAGAACCUUACCUAGGCUUGACAUGCAUCUCUAAGCGCGUGAAAGCGCGUGACCCUUCGGGGGAUUUGCACAGGUGCUGCAUGGCCGUCGUCAGCUCGUGUCGUGAGAUGUUGGGUUAAGUCCCGCAACGAGCGCAACCCUUGUGAACAGUUGCCAGCACUUAAGGUGGGAACUCUGUUCAGACUGCCCAGAUCAACUGGGAGGAAGGUGGGGACGACGUCAGGUCAGUAUGGCCCUUACGCCUAGGGCUGCACACGUACUACAAUGCCCAGCACAAUGAGAACCGAGACCGCGAGGUGGAGGAAAUCUAAAAAACUGGGCCCAGUUCGGAUUGGAGGCUGCAACUCGCCUCCAUGAAGUUGGAAUCGCUAGUAAUGGCGCAUCAUCUACGGCGCCGUGAAUACGUU
rnacentral:rRNA from 1 species